ACAAAUUCCAAAUUUAUGGGGAUUGUUAAAUUUUAUAUUAAUCCAUGUUGGUGUGCAUAGGUAGAUAGAUACAUUGUGUGGGUGCAAGUUACAUUGCUGGAAAAAGACUCCUGUGUUAUUAACAAGUUCUUAAUUACUGGCCGGCCUCUAAUUUAACAGAUCUAAAAUCUGAUAUGUUUCAUC